CACUAUCUUUCGUUCUCGGCCCCUGAGAGCCCUUGCAUUGGAUAAAUGCAGUUAUUUCACAGAUUCUGGAAGUUGGCGCCAGUCUCCAGUUAAAGCUGCGAAGCUUAAGGGCCUUCGUAACAAAAGGAACUUCCAAGAGAGAGACACAGCCUGAGUGGGGGAGGAGCAGAGAGAGAGGGAGACACAGAAUCCAAAGCAGGCUCCAGGCUCUGAGCUGUCAGCACAGAGCCCUGCAUGGGCUCAAACCCACCAACUGUGAGAUCGUGACCUGAGCUGAAGUCGGAUGCUUAACUGAUUGAGCCACCCAGGCGCCCCUAAAAAUUGUAUGUUCUAAGCAUACUUUUCUGGGGAAAAGAUCUACAGUUUUUAUGAGAUUCUCCCAGUGAUGUGACCUAGAAAAGAUUAAUAAUCAUGAUAUGCAAAUUCUUAUGUUAUCUGAGGAAAACAGACCCAAGGACAACUCUGCUGGAGAAUCCUGACCUCUGAGAAACACUUCCUUUUCUCCAAAAAACUUUGGAACUAAGUCAUGGUUUAUGUUCAGUGUAUUUGAGGUCAUAUUGUUGAUUUGAUUAUAAAGCUUUUGUGAUGAGGCAUACUUACUGCAAAAGGGUUGGUUUUUUUUUUUUUUUUAAGUCACAUUAUCCAAAAAGAAAAAGCAACUCACCAAGACUCCGCAAAAUUCUAUUCAUCCCACUGGGCUCAGACUCUGGAAUUGUUUCCAAAUACUGGAGGGCCCGGACCUCAAACAAACCUACAAGGAAAACUCAUGUUGGUGAAAUUUUCCAAUACUUACUGAAAAUCACUUAAAUAAACCUCUGUGCUUUCUA